CAGCAGCCGCGGUAAUACGAAGGGUGCAAGCGUUAAUCGGAAUUACUGGGCGUAAAGGGUGCGUAGGCGGUUGUUUAAGUCUGUUGUGAAAUCCCCGGGCUCAGCCUGGGAAUUGCAGUGGAUACUGGGUCACUAGAGUGUGGUAGAGGAUAGUGGAAUUUCCGGUGUAGCAGUGAAAUGCGUAGAGAUCGGAAGGAACAUCUGUGGCGAAGGCGACUAUCUGGGCCAACACUGACACUGAGGCACGAAAGCGUGGGGAGCAAACAGGAUUAGAUACCCGCGUAGUCCCUGUCUCUUAUAC
rnacentral:rRNA from 1 species